rnacentral:rRNA from 1 species
AGAGUUUGAUCCUGGCUCAGGAUGAACGCUAGCGGCAGGCUUAAUACAUGCAAGUCAAGGGGGUAGCAAUACAACCGGCGCACGGGUGAGUAACGCGUACACAACAUACCAUAUACUGGGGUAUAGCUUCGGGAAACUGGAGAUAAUCCCCCAUAACAUUGCGAGAGGGCAUCUGAUUGCAAUUAAAGUUUCGACGGUAUAUGAUUGGUGUGCGUUUGAUUAGCUUGUUGGUAGGGUAACGGCCUACCAAGGCGACGAUCAAUAGCUGGCGUGAGAGCGCGACCAGCCACACUGGAACUGAGACACGGUCCAGACUCCUACGGGAGGCAGCAGUAGGGAAUAUUGGACAAUGGGCGAAAGCCUGAUCCAGCCAUGCCGCGUGAUAGAUGAAGGCCCUCUGGGUUGUAAAUAUCUUUUAUCUGGGAAGAAACUCCUCUAUUCUUAGAGGCCUGACGGUACCAGAGGAAUAAGCACCGGCUAACUCCGUGCCAGCAGCCGCGGUAAUACGGAGGGUGCAAGCGUUAUCCGGAUUCACUGGGUUUAAAGGGUGCGUAGGUGGGUUGAUAAGUCAGUGGUGAAAGCUCCGAGCUUAACUUGGAAACUGCCAUUGAUACUGUCAGUCUUGAAUGUCGUAGAGGUAAGCGGAAUGUUGCAUGUAGCGGUGAAAUGCUUAGAUAUGUUACAGAACACCAAUUGCGAAGGCAGCUUACUAUGCGAUGAUUGACGCUGAGGCACGAAAGCGUGGGGAGCAAACAGGAUUAGAUACCCCGGUAGU